rnacentral:rRNA from 1 species
AAACCAGCACCUCAAGUGGUCAGGAGGAUUAUUGGGCCUAAAGCAUCCGUAGCCUGCUUUGUAAGUUUCCGGUUAAAUCCAUUAGCUCAACUAAUGGGCCGCCGAAAAUACUGCAAAACUAGGGAGUGGGAGAGGUAGACGGUACUCGGUAGGAAGGGGUAAAAUCCUUUGAUCUAUUGAUGACCACCUGUGGCGAAGGCGGUCUACCAGAACACGUUCGACGGUGAGGGAUGAAAGCUGGGGGAGCAAACCGGAUUAGAAACCCGAGUAGUCC